rnacentral:miRNA from 1 species
CCUGUGCUUUUAUUCAAAAAUCU